UUUGCCCUACGGGAGGCAGCAGUGGGGAAUAUUGGGCAAUGGGCGCAAGCCUGACCCAGCAACGCCGCGUGAAGGAAGAAGGCUUUCGGAUUGUAAACUUCUUUUGACAGGGAAGAGUAGAAGACGGUACCCGUCGAAUAAGCCACGGCUAACUACGUGCCAGCAGCCGCGGUAAUACGUAGGUGGCAAGCGUUGUCCGGAUUUACUGGGUGUAGAGGGCGUGUAGCCGGGUUGACAAGUCAGAUGUGAAAUCCUGCGGCUUAACCGCAGAACUGCCUUUGAAACUGUUGAUCUUGAGUACUGGA
rnacentral:rRNA from 1 species